AGCGAGGGCGACUGCACCGAUUUCACCUUAGCACUUGGGGCGGGGAAGCCCCUGUGGCUUCAGCAGGGACCGCGGAGCUGCUGCUGCUGGGUGAUAGGAGGCUCUUCAGAAAACAGAUAGCCAUCUCAUGGGAGAAGACCAGAGCUGUGGUCGACUGGGGAAUGGAAGGCCAAUAUUGCUGCAAGGUGAACCCUGACAGAAGAGAUAGCUAAGCCUUGCUGCUUCAGGUGCAAGAGGUACUCCAAAAUAUCUUGCAGUGAAGAAUGCAACGGUGAAACUCGGCACUGGGAAGACCAGAUGGAAAACUGCUUCCAUUUUGCAAGGGAUGGACUUGUGUUUUCAUAAUUCGGGGCCUCAGACUGGAAAGUCACAGUGCAAUUUAGCAAAGAAGAAAAUUACAAAGACAAAACAACCACUAGUGAGAAAAAUGACUUGCCCCACUGAGUUUGGCAGGUCUUCAGAACAUUGUGCCACCAUCAAGAAGGACCAUGUUAAGGGACUGAACUGUGAUUCCCAAGCCUUUGGGCAACUGGAGGCUGAGUGCAUCAUAGAAGCCAUAUUCUCAGUCUCCAGGGGGACUGUGUUGGCUGUACUACUCUUGUAGCACACCCUGCCAACUGAUCCACCAAAUGACACUAAUGCUGACUUGCCUGCUCUUUGCCAGCAUUACCACGCCUGUGAUUUCAGCCAGAAGCAAACUUGGAGGAUAGCACGAGGCGGGAGGCCAACAAAACAAAGUCACAUGAAUUAAAAACUGAUCUAGAGAAAAGAUUUCACUUUUACAAACGAAGCCAUAUUUUCAAACCACAUGGCAUCCCGGUCACUGAUUUUUCAUGCAUAUAAUGAUCUAUAUAUUUUUAAAAAUCUGUAAUUUAGCUAUUUAAAAAUAUGAACUUUAAA